rnacentral:rRNA from 1 species
GACGAACGCUGGCGGCGUGCUUAACACAUGCAAGUCGAACGGAAAGGCCCUGCUUUUGUGGGGUGCGCGAGUGGCGAACGGGUGAGUAACACGUGAGUAACCUGCCCUUGACUUUGGGGUAACUUCAGGAAACUGGGGCUAAUACAGGAUAGGAGCUCCUGCUGCAUGGUGGGGGUUGGAAAGUUCCGGCGGUUGGGGAUGGACUAGCGGCUUAUCAGCUCGUUGGGGGGGUAGUGGCUUCCCAAGGCCUUGACGGGUAGCCGGCCUGAGAGGGUGACCGGCCACAUUGGGACUACGGUACGGCCCAGACUCCUACGGGAGGCAGCAGUGGGGAAUAUUGCACAAUGGGCGGAAGCCUGAUGCAGCAACGCCGCGUGCGGGAUGACGGCCUGCGGGUUGUAAACCGCUUUCGCCUGUGACGAAGCGUGAGUGACGGUAAUGGGUAAAGAAGCACCGGCUAACUACGUG